AAGUAAUAGAGUGAAGAUUAUUCAUCUCAUUCAAUUCUUCUUCACAAUUGGCUUCUAAUCUAUGCCAUAUAUAAAAUCUGCAGAGACUAAUACCAUACACCUAUUCAAGGUUCAAAUAAACAAAAGCGUCUGAGUAACCUAUCGCGCUAAGGAAAGAGAAUCGUUGUCUUAAGUAGCAAAACACUGCAAUCAGGUUGAGCUGAUGUGAUGAUGGUGCUGCAAUGAGCGGAGUCUCCAGGGUUGUUAAUAAAUAGUUAACCUGUCUAGAAUAUGUCUUCAUACAUAUGUCUAGCUACUUUCCGCUGCAAGAUGUUGUUGAUGUUAUAAUAUGUUAUGUCAUACUUUGAGUCUUAAGAGAAUGGUUUCAUAUGAUGUAUAACUUGAUUAAUGAUAUUAAUUAAGUUUUAUGCUGUCUUUCA